rnacentral:rRNA from 1 species
UAUCAGUACUCGCCCUAGCAAGGUGAAACCGCGAACGGCUCAUUACAACAGCUAUAAUCCACUCGAUCUUGAGCAGUUACUCGGAUAACUGUGGUAAUUCUAGAGCUAAUACGUGAAGCAAAGCUGUAUUCAUUUGGAUGCAGCGCAUUUAUUGGAGCAAAACCAGGCGGCUUCGGCCGUUCACUGUUGACUCAGAAUAACUAAGCUGAGCGCAUGGUCUUGUACCGGCGCCGUGUCGUUCGAGUGUCUGCCUUAUCAACUUUCGAUGGUAGUGUAUGUGACUACCAUGGUUGUGACGGGUAACGGGGGAUAAGGGUUCGACUCCGGAGAAGGGGCCUGAGAAAUGGCCACUACGUCCAAGGAUGGCAGCAGGCGCGCAAAUUACCCACUCUCGGUUCGAGGAGGUAGUGACGAAAAAUAACAAGGUGGUUCUCUACGAGGCCCACCAUUGGAAUGGGUACAACUCAAACCCUUUAACGAGUAUCAAUGAGAGGGCAAGUCUGGUGCCAGCAGCCGCGGUAAUUCCAGCUCUCAAAAUGCAUAGAACCAUUGCUGCGGUUAAAAAGCUCGUAGUUGGAUCUGUGCCGGCGUCGUGGUCCACCCUAACAGGCGGCACUGCGCGCGUCGGCUUUGGGCCGGUCUUCGUCCGGGGGCCUUAACUGGUUCGUCGGCCGUGGCUGGCUGGUUUACUUUGAGCAAAUCAGAGUGCUCAGCACAGGCGUUUCGCCGGAAUGUUCGUGCAUGGAAUAAUAGAACAGGAUCACGGUCCUCUUUUAUUGGUUUUGUGGACUGAGAUAAUGGUUAACAGAGACGAACGGGGGCAUUCGUAUUGCUGCGUGAGAGGUGAAAUUCUUGGACCGCAGCAGGACGGACUACAGCGAAAGCAUUUGCCAAGCGCGUCUUCAUUAAUCAAGAACGAAAGUCAGAGGUUCGAAGGCGAUCAGAUACCGCCCUAGUUCUGACCGUAAACGAUGCCAACUAGCGAUUCGGCGGUGGCUACAAGGCCCUGCUGAGGAGCUUCCCGGAAACGAAAGUCUUCCGGUUCCGGGGGAAGUAUGGUUGCAAAGCUGAAACUUAAAGGAAUUGACGGAAGGGCACCACCAGGAGUGGAGCCUGCGGCUUAAUUUGACUCAACACGGGAAAACUCACCCGGCCCGGACACCGUAAGGAUUGACAGAUUGAUAGCUUUUUCAUGAUUCGGUGGUUGGUGGUGCAUGGCCGUUCUUAGUUCGUGGAUCGAUUUGUCUGGUUUAUUCCGAUAACGAGCGAGACUCCAGCCUACUAACUAGUACGAGCAUUGCCUCUGUGCUCGGCACUUCUUAGAGGGAUUGACUGCGUCUAGCGGUACGAAACGGAGCAAUAACAGGUCUGUGAUGCCCUUAGAUGUCCGGGGCUGCACGCGCGCUACACUGGCAAAGGCAACGUGCUUGUCCGUCUCCGAAAGGAGCCGGUAAACCCUUGAAAAUUUGCCGUGAUUGGGAUCGGAAAUUGCAAUUAUUUUCCGUGAACGAGGAAUUCCUAGUAAGUGCGAGUCAUCAGCUCGCGUUGAUUACGUCCCUGCCCUUUGUACACACCGCCCGUCGCUGCCUAGAACUGAGCCAUUUCGAGAAUAUUCGGGAUCGUUGGUUGCGUGUUCUUCGGGACAUGCCUCCGGCCAGAGAACGAACGUAAUCGCAAUGGCUUGAACCGGGCAAAAGU